rnacentral:tRNA from 1 species
GUCGCGGUGGUCCUCGGCCAUGACGGAACCGGCGCCAUCGGCGCCGGGCACGCCUUCCGUGAUCUGGGGUUCGACUCCCUGACCGCGGUG